rnacentral:tRNA from 2 species
GGGCCCAUAGCUCAACGGUGGAGCAUCCGGCUCAUAACCGGCUGGUUCUAGGUUCGAAUCCUAGUGGGCCCACCA